rnacentral:rRNA from 1 species
UACAGAGGGUGCAAGCGUUAAUCGGAAUUACUGGGCGUAAAGCGUGCGUAGAUGGUUAUGUAAGUCGGAUGUGAAAGCCCAGGGCUCAACCUUGGAAUUGCAUUCGAGACUGCAUAGCUAGGAUGCGGAAGAGGGAAGCGGAAUUUCCGGUGUAGCGGUGAAAUGCGUAGAUAUCGGAAGGAACACCAGUGGCGAAAGCGGCUUCCUGGUCCAGCAUCGACGUUCAGGCACGAAAGCGUGGGGAGCAAACAGG